ensembl:lncRNA
AUGCGUGGUAGUGAACAAAAAGGAAUGUGCACUGAAUGUGGCUUCAGGGGCUGCAUUCAUCUUUGUAGAUUGUAUGAACUAGACAGGUGUAGUUCUCUCAUGGUAUUUGUUGAUUGAAGAGGCGCUGAUAGUCAUCAGAGGUGAGAAGACUGUUAGUAACAAAAGAUUUUGGUUUUUUUUCUUCUCUUUCUGCUUAAUACCCUCUGUAACCCAUUGUUGCUUCUAUCUUUCUGAAGUUUGCCUUCUUUCCUGGUCUCGUUCCCAUGAUUCUUCUGGAAGUCUUUUUCAUCACUGCAUACAGGGCUUCUCUGGCUACAUGCCUGCCCUGUCAUGUUCAGCAGAUGUCUUACCUCAGUGCAGGUGUGGCUUUGUAAAGGCCAAGUUUUGGACCUUGAAUAUAACCCAUUCUGUCUUUCCUUCCUAUUAACUAAUUAAGUGCUUUUUGCUCCACUGCCUGCUAGGUAGCUGAUGUGUUUCUGACCGGCAUAAAGUAAGUUGGUCCUUGGAUGAAGAAGUGUGUCUCAUUUAAACUGGACCACGUCCAGGAUCUCUAAUGAUAAUCACUGUUGUACUGACAUGAAAGAUGGGGGAGUUGGUGACGCUGCUGUGAAGCAGCCAUCAGGAUGUUGUUCUGUAGUGUCAGAAAGGCAAGUCACCUUGUUCAUCAAAUGAACAAGAAGGGAAUAAGACAGGAAAGAGAGUGGUUAGGAAGCCAUGAAGAAGUACUUAUCAGCCAGUUUGCUUGUUGGGCUUUGUGCUCAUUCCAGCUGUGCUUUUGCCAUCCCUCUGCUCCUUCCAGGAGUGGAUGCUCUUGCUCAUCCUAUUUUAAGCACCUGCUUGUGCACGAAACCCUGCUGUCUGCACGCAGUGUGGUUUGGACAGUUGCAGGUGCUUGUCUGAGUGGGUGAUGCUGUGCUCUAUAGAGAGCAUAUUUUCUGUUUUGUCUGACAUCAAGAAAUACAGCUUUUCUGCAGUCAUCUCCUAAAAGGGAUCCAAUGCUGUUUUAUGUCUGCAUAUUCUACUGGAUGAAAUGGAUAUGACAUGAAAUGAAUAUGAGAGAAGGAAUACCUGAAGAAAGGAGCUAGCAAAGAAUGGAGCACCAGGAUUUCUUAGCUGUGUGAAGUUUGACUGUGAACUCGUGCUGUACUUUCUGUGAGCAGUAACUCCUGAAUGUGAACGCAUAAGAAGUGCCUGCAGAGCACUGCAGCCCUGCUUCAAUGAUGGGAUGGAGAACCUGUGAUCUGGAGGAGCUCAGGUACGAGGAGCAGCGUGUUACCAGGAGCACAGUUCAGAAAUGUGUGAUCUGAAAGCACGGAUGAGGCUACUGUCCCUUUGUUUUUGAGCACAAACCCUCUGUUGAGAGUGAAAACAACUUUGUCUUUUCCUGCAUAUUGUAGUCACCUGAAUUAAAUGCACUCCAGGUGAACAUAUCUGACAUUUUUUUCUGUUUUUUUUGUCUGACAAGAGCUGAUUGCAGAAUUCCUGAGACAGUGGGGAAAAAAGAUUUAUAGAACUGUAGAAAAACUGUUUCUCCUUGUCACAGGUCCUCUCCUUAAAGUAGUUCAACUUAAAUUGUGUUUCUAAGAAACAGCAAGAAAUUGGAUUUAUCUGAAUGAGAGUUAAAACAGACAUGGCAGUAUUUGUACUGGGUUGCAUUUUUUGCUUCUCUGUUUUUUUUCCCUACUCCCAGACAUGCCUUUUCCUUUCCAGUGUAUCCAUAUCUGGAGGUUCUGACUAGACGGAGACUUGUGAGGGUUAAAAUCUCGAGGAACAGCUGGGAGAUGCUUAGCAAGCUGAAGUGACUUAGAGUUAAGGGUCUUCUGAGUCUACUAAGAAGCCCCACCCUGUCUUGGUCUGCCUUCUCAGUGACACUGGUAUCACAUUACAGUUCAGGGACUAAAGGGUAGGAACCUGGGUAUUUCCUGUGUUCAGCCCUAUUAACAUAGAAACAACAUUCUGGAAUAUCGUGUGGCAAACCUGCAAGGUUCUGGUGGGACAGUAUUGCCAUGCUAAUCCCCUGCUUGGGGUUACAGGAAAGAAGUACUUUUUUCUCCAUGCUUACAUCUAUGCAGCCCCUGAAAAUAGUCAGCAGAAUUUGGGUGCUUCCAUUAUCAACUAAUUGAAUUCGUUUGGCUCAAUCAAGCAUUCAGCUAUUCUGCAGCCAGUGGUGUCAGAUGGGACAUGUAUUUGGCUGAGUUUCACAAAAAUUGUUGGCUCCACAUUGGUUGUACAAUGGGGAACACAAAACCACUUCAGGAUUCAGCUUUCACAGCUUCUCAGCAUGUUAUCUGAACUGUUGUCUGUAUGCAGUGCUGCAAUUGCUGCUAGGGUUUAAGCACAUCUCCUGGUCUUGAUCUCCUCUUUGUCACCUUCUCACCUUUUCAGCAAGUCUGGAGGAAGCUGAGCGCAGCAACCUUUUGUGUUUUCCGCUCUAAAUGUCAUUCAUCUUCAAGAUUUUCCUGUCAGCCACGUUAAAUAGCAUUCCACCAUGCUCACUCACUUGCUAUACAUUCCAGAUUUGCAUCCUGAAUGUGGAAAUUAUUUAUGAAUUUCUCGAAUACUUUAUCUUAUGUUAGAUUAAUUGUAGAUUAUGUCUCCUUCUGCUGUCUUUGUGUUCUCAGGCUCAGCUUUCAAAGAUCUGAAUGGCUAUGUGAUAAAGUGAUGAGAGGCAAUAAAACUAUAGGGCAAAACCACAUAAUUAGAGGAAGGAAGACACUAUGGACUGCAAUGCAGCCUUUGAAACUUCCUCGUCAUCUACUGCUACUGGUUAUAACUUUUGCACAUGGAAGCAUACAGAGGUAGAGUUUGGGGGCCUUAUCCAGAGUACUGUGUUUACUGCCAGUUGCACUGCACUGAUAUCAUUUGUUUGUACUUUGAACCUUACCAGGACCUCCCCAGAAAUUCUCUUGUAGAUGUGGAGUCAUAGGCCUCAAAGUAAAGCUGUACCUCUGAGCUUCUGUGAGGCUGAAGUCAAGGAAUUAUCCUGUAAAUCCAGAGUGAGUCACACCUGGAUAACCCAUUGUGUGAUACAGAUCCCUGCUGGGUUGCAGUUUGCAGCCACAGGGAAGUAUUGACACUUACUCAGCUUAAAGACCAAAUAUAAAUUAAAUCAAAACAGAAGUCCCAGCAGCUUUGGGAGGAAGACUUGGCCUUUAGACUCCUUUUGCUCAUCUCUAAAGGUAAGUUUUCCUCUCAGAUGACCUAAUGGCAGUUUCUUCUGAAGAUGCUGUUUAGCUCUCCAUGUUAAUCCAUGCGUUGAAACAAAUGCUGCUGCUGGUGUGUGGAGCAGCUUCUCUCUUGCAGGCACUCUAUGCUGGCAGGGCUGCAGCUGUCUGACACCAAACUUGUACAUGGCUAGAGAUCAGCUUUCUAAGAACCCGGAGGGCCCUCCUUUCUGCUGGCUUCCCCCCAUAUCUCCAUGCUGCGUGAGACUGCUGUGAGCUUUUAUACAGGCAGUAUAUUUACAGUAGCACUGGAUGUGAAGUGCAAAAUGCUCUUUAAAGUCUGCUUAAAAUCUCUCCCCUGUCAGUUCCCAAAUUUAAUAAUGAUGGAGUUUGGGAAAGGUGUACGAAGUGCUAUCUGGUGUGUAUGUGCAAGAGAUGAAGUGCAUGUGUAGUUAUAAAGCACUCUUCAGAAUCUGGUCUGCAGUCUAUUAACAUGCUGAACAUGCCUUUUUUAUGGUGGUGAUUUACAGUCCAGCACAACUAUGUGAAAUCGCUUCAUUAUAUUUGAAUAAUGAAAAGAGUGCCAUCAAAAAGGCAUGUCUCCAGGGAUCUCUCUGAGGCAACACUUUAAACAAAUGACUUUUUAGAUAAAUUUAUUAUGAAGUGUGAUGAAAGCCAUUUUUCUUAGCAGUCACAUCUUGUGAAAUCAAUGAGCUUUGUUGUGCUGUAGUUUUUUUUUAAUCUCUUACAUAAGUAAAGACUAUGUCUGUAUAAAUGGUGGUUGAUGUUCUGCAAUCACCAUGGAAAGGGAAUGUAAUGUUUUAGUGUUUAAAUUCUGGUUUGUUAUGGCUGCUAAAUAUUUGUGGACUGAACUUAACAGCCUAGUCUUGGAGUUGGAAAUAUCAGUUGCCCUAAAAAUUGUUUUUACAGGCAGCUAUGAAUGUUCAUCCAGAUUUGUUAAGCUAAAAUGUGUUUUUAUAAAAUUACAGCAUUUGCCUAAGACCUCUUCUGCCAAAGGAGUACCCAGCUUUCCUGGUGGCAGUCUGUUAAACUGUGCUACAAGAAGUUGGCCAAACCACUCAGAAAUAACUAUCGUUGGGGCUUUCAUAGUAUUAUAAAAACACUUCUUAUUGCUUUGUCAUGUGAGCAUCCUUGAACGUCUCAUUAAAAAUCUAACAUUUGAUUAUUAAUGAGACAGUUUUUUUUUCUAAAAUCCGCACUGACUUUCAAAGACGCAAUGAAAACACGUAUUGUGUCAUCAGGACAAUGAUAUUUUGAAUGAAGAUAAAUUAUGUUCUUUCUUCUGGAACUUCAUUGAAGUUGAACCUGAUGAAGUUCAACAAGAACAAGUGUAGAGUCCUGCACCUGGGGAAUAAUAACUGCAUGCAUCAGUGCAGUCAGGGGCUGAGCUGCUGCAGAGGAGCUGUGCAGAGAAGGACCUGGGGGUCCUGGUGGGCAGCAGGCUGGCCAUGAGCCAGCGGUGUGCCUUGGUGGCCAAGAAAGCCAAUGGUAAUUAAAAGCAUUGCAAAGAGCAUAGCUGGCAUGUUGAGGGAGGUGAUCCUCCCCUCUGUUGUGCCCUGGUGAGGCCACAGCUGGAGUGCUGUGUCCAGUACUGGGCUCCCAAGUUUAAAAACAAACAAACAAAACAAAAAAACAACACAGGGAUCUCCUAGAGAGAGUCCAAUGGAGGGCCAAAAAGGUGAUUAAGGGCUUGGAGCAUCUUCUGUAUGAGGAAAGACUGAGAGAGCUGGGGCUGUUCAGUCUGGAGAAAAGAAGGCUGAGAGGGGAUCUCAUCACUGUUUAUGAAUAUCUCAAGUGCAAGAGUCAAGUCAAUGUGGGCAGACUCUUUUCAAUGGCAAGCAACAAUAGAACAAGGGGCAGUGGCCAGAAACUGAAAUAUGGGAAGUUCCAUACUAAUGCAGAGAAGAACUUCUUUACUGUCAGAAUGACAGAGCACUGGCACAGGCUGCCUGGAGAGGUUGUGGAGUCUCCUUCUAUGAAGAUAUUCAAGACCCAUCUGGACACCGACUUGUGUGACCAAUUGUAGGGAACUGCUUUAGCAGGGGGUUCGACCCAGUGAUAUCUUGAGGUUCCUUCCAACCCCUGCGAUUCUGUGAUUCUGAUUGUGUGGCUCUGUGAUUUAAGGCUGUGUAUUUUCCCUCUUCUUUUUUUUACAGUUAUUUGAAAAUGUUUUUGUCCUGAAGUCACCCCUCUUUGACUCUCCUUAAAUGGAGUACCAAUCUGAGGUUGGACAUGCUUUAAUAGAGGCUGCUUCUUUCUUCUUCUUCUUUUUUUUUUUUUUUAAGAGGUGGAAAUCAUGGAAUAAUAGAAUGGCUUGGGUUGGAAGGGACCUUAAAGCCCAUGCAGUUCCAACCCCUGCCCUGGGCUGGCUGCCCCCCACGAGGUUAGGCUGCCCAGAGCCCCUCCAGCCUGGUCUUGCACAUCUCCAGGGAUGGGUACCCAUAGUUUCUCUGGGCAGCCUUGGCUUUCCUGCUCCCAUCCAUGCACAUCCAGACAGCAUCUCUCUAUUCUUUGCAGGCCACUCAAUCCUGCUUCCACUGCCUGCACAUCUUCUUUCCCUCACUCUGACCAGCAGGGACUUGCCCAGCCAUGCCAGUUUCCUGCCUCCUCUACUUGAUUUCUUAUUCUGGAGGUUGGAGAGCUCUUGUACUCUCAGAAAGGUGUCCUUAAAGAGCUGCCAUCUCUGCUCUGUUCCUUUGUCCCUAAGAACAACUUCCCAGGGGAUCUCACCCAACAACUCCCUAAGCAGCCUGAAGUUUGUUCUCUUGAAGUUCAGGGUCCUGACUGCUCUUUGCCAGGUGCAUAUUCCUUGAGAUCACAAAUGAGACUAGGGCAUGGUAGCUGUAGCCCAACCUGCCUCUAAUCUUAAUCUCUUUAUCUGUCUCCUCUGAAUCUAUGAGCUCCCUGGUCCAGUAACCCUUCUCCUCUGUCAGUUAGACUAAUACCUGGGCCAGGAAGUUACUGUCAAUGGGCUCUGGGAGUCUCCUGGGCUGCUUGCAGCUCACUGUGUUGCUUUCCCACAAGAUGUCUGGAUGAUUGAAAUCCCCAUCAGGAUUAGAGUCUGUGACACUUCUUGCAGCUGCAGCAAGAAUGUCUCACCCACAGGCUUUCUUUGGUCAGACAGCCUGUAGUGGACCCCAACCACCAGAUGUCCUUUAUUGGUCCAGUCCCUAAUUUUGACCCACAGGCUCUCAGUCUGAUUGUGGGUGAUUCUCAGAGGCAGCUCUUCACAGUCUAUCUAUUUCUUAACAUAGAGGGCAACUCCAGCACAGGAACAGGUUGCCCAAGGAGGCUGUGGAUGCCCCAUCCCUGGAGGCAUUCAAGGCCAGGCUGGAUAUGGCUCUGGGCAGUCUAGUCUGGUGGUUGGUGACCCUGCACAUAGCAGGGGGUUGGAACUCGAUGAUCAUUGUGGUCCUUUUCAACCCAGGCCAUCCUAUGAUUCUAUGAUUUCAUGAUUCUAAAAAUCUCUUAGCCCUCAAUCAUAGUGUUCCAGUUGUGUGACUUGUCCCACCGUGUUUCUAUGAUAGCAAUUAGGUCAUGGCUUUUUAAUAAUGACCUCAUAGGAAAAAAAUCACUCUCUUUGUCUUGAGCUGAAAAAUAUAGGCGUGUCCAUCUGUUAAGUAAGUUUUUGUGCUCAAAUGUAGAUACGGUUCUCUGAAAUGCCUUAACAACUAUUAUGAUAGUGAAAGCAUCUUGAAUGCAACUCGAGAGACCUGGAUUCUUUUCCUGAAAUAACCACUGAUUCUCAAGUCACUUAAUUUCCAUAUCUUGAAAACAGAGUAGUGUGUUUGCUGUCUUUCAUAAAGAGCAUUCAAAUCUACAUAUGCAAAGUGAUAUGUAAACAUUUGUAAUAAUAUAGUGGGUGAUAUUCUCCAGGGAUAUAAAAAGGGGUGACCAGAAGAUGCUGGGAGAAUGAACUGACUUCUGCAGCUGUAGCUGAGCUCUUUGUCUUACUGGUGGUAACUUGCAACUCAGAAUUUGGUGGUGGGGAGACAGAGUGCACAGUCAAUCAGAGUGCAGUCAAUUAGAGCAUGGUCAAUUAGAGCACGGUCUGAUUGACUGAACCUUAAGGAAACAUACUCUGUUUGUGUUUGCAUUAACUUAAAGGAUUCUCAAUCAUGAGGUAUGUGUAAACAUAGUGGGGUUUCUAUUUUCAAACUCCAAUUUUUCCUUUUCUGUUGCCUUCCAACUGCCACCUGAAAGGAAUCCCCAGUGGGAUUGCUUCUAAAAGUCCAAGCAUAUCUACAGCAGAAGAAGAACAUUUUGUCUUUACAUACUCACGCUGCAGAAAGGAAACAUUAUGUGGCACCUCAGCAUCAGACAUUUGCUAAGACACGCAGUGGUGGCCCUGUUUAAUUCCUCCUAGUGGACAAACUGCUCCAGCAGUCACCAGUCUAUGAGCUGACUCCUGGCUCCCUGAGGCAGUUAGUGCAGCACUGAGAUGCUGCUUUUAUUUCUGAGCCGUUUGGUGAGUGCAUUUUAAUCAGAGAUGUGGAAGAAGUGUUGGGGAGGAGGUGCAGCCUUCUCCUUCUCAGGUAAUUAAUCAUCUGAUUUUUGGUGUCUCAGUAAUUACUGUUGGCAAAAAAAAAAAAGUCAUUUGAAUGGUGGCAAUAUACUGCAAGCAAACAUAACUUGGAAUGACUUUGUUUCAGCCACUUGUCUGUUCUUCAUGAGCAUUUUUACAGUCAGCUGAGGACUUGUAACCAAGCCUUUGGCCACAACUGUCAGCUCCAGAUUGCCUCUAGCAGGCAAGGGUGUGAUUGCAAGAUGCUACCAUUGCUUCUGGCCGCUGGCCUUAUUGUGCUGAGUAUGCACGAAGGGACGUGCACAGCCCUGACUGCUGUUGGAUCUGAUUUCCACUGAAUUCUGCUGACCCUUAAACUGCUGCUGUGAUGGACUGAAGUAGCCUGAAGUGAACCUUUUCUCCCCAGCCAAAGCAAAAUGUUUAUCAGCAGCUCCUCUAAAGCCACUGCUGUUGCCCAAGUCUCUCCUUCUGCUGUUUGCUGCCUGCAGGAAGGCACGGGGAGAUAGCGAGCAGCCUGGGUGAACCUGCUCUGCUCCGACAGCCACUUUAGUUACCUGCCCCGAACCUCUGCUGCCAGCAGAGGCAGCUGUUGGUUCUGAGGCCAUCUGGAGGCACAAGGCAGGAUUUGAGGGAACUGCCUUUCUCUGGAGCCUCUUGUAGCACUCGUAGGCUUUGUUUAGUUAUUUAUCCAUCCUUCCAAUGCCCGUGCCAGUUUAGAACUUCCCAACGCUUUAACUACCAGAGUGUUCCUGAAUAGGUCAGAGUCAUUAUCCAUUCCUAUGAGGCAUACUGAACAGAAGAUUUGUUUUAAAAACAGAUGAAACAAUCAGCUUCUGAGCUAAUGUGGGGGUUUCUUGUUUACAUGGGCUUCAGCUCAGGCUGGACAAGGAGCUGGAAGAGUUUCUGCUGUGGGUACUCCUGUAUGUUCUUGCAGAGAUUCUUCGAACGCCGGUGGUUCUGUUAGCAUCCCUACGAGUGAAGCUGUGGUUGAGCAGAACCAAUUUAAAGUUGUUACAUUUGUCUGAGCUAAUCUUAUUUAUUUCAGGGCUUUUGCUCAGCUCUGCCCUUCUUGUUCCCGAGCACCUCUGCAUGAGUCGCCGCGGGCACAGCUGUGUGCCUGGGGACUCAGUUCUAUGGGAGCUCCCAGCUCAGGUUUGGGUACUGAGUGUUCCCCAGUCAGUAGGAGGAAAAAACUCAGAAAUCCUCAGAGUGACUGCUGCCAUUACUUUGCAGAGAGCCUGUGAGAGCUCAUUUAUAAGGUAUCUGACAGCAGUCAGCACCAGAUCGUUCAUAAUGUCUUUGGAGUGUUUGAGGCCAGAUAAAUCCGACUGAUUUUCUGCCUUUGUGAAUAGCUGUGAGCAUAAAUUAAUCUCUAAUUUGAGGGGAAUGCUGCGUGUUAGAUGGAAAUGCAGGACAGAGCUGGAGGGGGCAACCUGGGCCUUUUUAUUCUAUCUAAACAUUAAAAUGUUCCAUCUGUACUUCUACUGCGAUCUGCAGUGGAAGUCAAAGGAAGGAUUUUGUCUCUUUUCUUUUAUAUUUAGUAUUUCUCUCAACGCUUCAGAAUGUUCUCUCUGUUUUUUUGGACAAGGGGUGCAUGUUUUUUCCCCACUUCUUAUUCAUUUAUGAAUUUAAAGGUCAACGUUGGGAUUUUUCGUACUCAAAAGUGUAUUUUCUGUUUAUUAUACAUAUUUUAGGUGAGUGGUAUUUUAUUUACUUUAUUGUUUGUUGUAGAUGUUCAGCUAUAUCUGUGCUAAGAAAUAGGUCCAUUACUCGACGCAGGUGACUAGCUCUGGGUGCCCCCACCUGGUUGGAGCUGCCUAUUUCAUUGCAGUGUUGCUAAAUCCUCUAAAUCCUUUCUGUAUGGUUUUCAUUCUGAAAAAGAUUAACCACAAAACAGCAAUGCAGGCAGUUCAGAUUCCUGCAGAGCACUGCUUAUGCAUUUGGUGUGUAUUUCAACUGGAGUAUGUCAGCAGCUGACAACAGGAAAGAAUCGUAGAAUGGCCUGGGUUGAAAAGGACCACAAUGACCGUCAGUUCCAACCCCCUGCUAUGUACAGGGUCGCCAACCAGCAGACCAGGCUGCCCAGAGCCACAUCCAGCCUGGCCUUGAAUGCCUCCAGGGAUGGGGCAUCCACAGCCUCCUUGGGCAACCUGUUCCAGUGCUUGGACUGAAGGUACCGAGCUCUUCAGAACUGACUGACCCUGGCAGUUCUGAUUUGAGGUGUAAGGCACAGAUCUGAGCCAUACGUGUUCUUUGCCACUAGGGUGGUGAUGCAGACAAGUUAAUGUUUGGAAGGCAUACAGCUAUGCUGGGCUAAUGUUUGAGCCUACAGUAAAGUGCCUACCACAAACCCAUCCUUCUUGAUAUAAAAAUGUCAAAUAUUCUUUUACUACUGUUAAAGGACAUAAAGGAAAAGUUGCAGAAAGAAAUUCCCUUCUGAGAUUUUCAGUUGUAAAAACUGUUGUUCUCAUACAAACUUCAAAGCAAAGCUAGAAGAACACAUGAAGAGGCUGUUAGUGCAGCUGUGGUUUCUAAAAUAUGUGGCUCAUGCAAGUCCUGAAAGGUACAACUGAUCCUUUACCAGCAUGAAAGCUGGAGAGCAGCAGAGCCCCAACAAGCGCAGGAGGCUGUUUGGAUGUCACACAGUUCAGUGGUCUCACAGUCCCAAUGUCAGACACACAGAGCCAGGCCCAGGCUGAGGUUGUCCCAGAAGAUCAUUGCUGUAGAUUACUGAAGUACAAAGGCUUGUAAACAACUACAGUGUCCACACGUGGGGCUGAAAAUGAGCUGUUAAGAGCUGAAAAUAUCAAUGUCUGAAAUUGGAAUUACUGACUCCUACUGGUUAGAGUUCCACCUCUCCCACUUAGAGAAUUGUUGGAUGCUCGUAAUGUAGCUUUUCACACUUUUUACUCUGUCCCUUAAAUUAUGUCUGUUUGAAUGUGAUUUCUUGAAGCCUUCAUUAUUUGUAAGUGAUUAUGUUAGGCUUUGAUAUAUUUUAGGUAUGAGAGUGUUUGAAUUAUCUGCUUUUCUCCUUUUAGCUGUCAUUUCAGGUAAAUAACAAUUCUGCAAGUUUGUGGUUUUGACUUCUCACCUCAGCGGUUUGGAUCAGUGAUUGAGGACGUGGACCCAGGAAUUUGAAGAUGAGCUUCACUUUUAAUGUCUUCAUUUGGACACCAAGCAAAUCCCUAACUAAUUGAGGCUGAAAUGCCUUAGGAUGAUAUUUGCUGUUCUUUAUUUAAAUUCAGAGGGUUUAUCACCACACAGACAUUUCAGUUGCUUAUUCUAGGAAACUCAUGGAAACGUGCUUUGUUAAAUAAUGUAUUUUCUAUUUUUUUUUCCCUUCCUUGUGUUACAAAAUGAAUGUAAAAGCUUUAAAACCCAGCAUUCACCACUCUGCAGUAGAUCUAAUAGAGUGGCAUUAUAUGAAGAGAUGCCAUGGUAACUGAAGUUGCCAAGACAGUCAGUGUCAAGCUUUUUAAUGGUGACUGCUAUACUAUAUUUGGCUUUGAUUACCACAAUCUGAAUAGCAAAUGGAAAGUGUUCACCGGUCUCAUUUGCUACCACCUACAGUCCAGAAGUAACGAGAUGACAGAAUUCAGUGUUGCACUGACUGCCAACCACUGGCCAUCAGGAUUGUUCUUUGCAGCACUCCCCUCUCCCACUGGAUCUCAUGGCAUCCUUAUCACAGCCUUACCAUUUGUGCUAUCCAGUUGGUGAUAUGCCACUUGUCUUAAUGAAAUUUGGCACCUGAAGCCAGUAGAGGAGUCUGCACUUUGUGAGCUGGCAAAAAAUCAGCAAAGUCAUUUCCACAGGAAACUGUUCUUUAAAUCUGUAAGUGGUGCGAAAGCAGAAUAAAGCAGAAACGUACACUGUUUUUUUCUCAUAAAUGGGUUAAGUGUACCUUACCUCCCUUGCUGUAAAGCUUUGUAGAUCCUGUUAUCAUCAGUUUUCACAAAAAUGAUACUUUCUUCUGUCUCCAUAAUUUUGGUUUAUUUUUUAAAUGCCAGAAUAGAAAGCGAGGUCCCAUCGCCAAGGUGCCAUUUUAUCAUUUUGCUCACUCUAAUACAAAUGAUUUACCUAUACACUGAAGUAUUACCGUAAGUUAUAAUGAAGCUCCUUGCUAAAACGUGCAGCAGCAGUUCCAAAACAUUACUCAUUACUUUUAAAUCCAGAACUAAACUUUCUGCCAGUAGUAAUAGCCUCAUGCUGUUAAAAAGGACUGUUUUUAACAUGCUGUUAAAGGACUGCUUUACUUAAAAGGAAGCAGUCACAGAGCAGACUAUGAAAUGCUUCUUGAAUGAGAUGAACAGUCCUGGCCAUAACAGUUGUAGACUAUUGGGAAACUCAAUAGGCAGCUAACAGGAACAACUUGGGUAGGAAGAGCUUGAGGGUGAGUGCAGCUCAGCUCAGAACAGCCUUCUGUCAUUCUCUCUUGCAGUUAGGCAGACAUAAACAAAGAAGCAUGAUGGGAAGAAACUGAUAUCUUGGAGGGAAGGGAAAGACUAAAUAAAGAGUAGGGAAAAAGCUUUAACAAUGUGAUUCUUUAGAUAGAAAGCUAGUCUCAAAAGACCUAUCACUUGACACAUGAAAAAUUGAUUGGAGAAAGCAGUAGCAAAUAGUUUUCCAGGAAGAAUGUUGUAUUGGCAGGAGGAUGGAUAAGAUGAUCACAGUUCAUUUACUUAAGUUUUAUCCAACAGCAUUAUGAAGUAGGAGAAUAUAUGGGUGAUUUCAUGUGGUUUUGGAUCGUGUGGAUUUUGAACAAACCAGUCAGGAGGUAGCAGCAUUGCUUUGGAGAUCAGCAAAUGAAGAAAAACAGCUUCAGUUGAAAGGGAACAGAUUUGACAGGAAAAAUUCAUAUUUGUUAAAGAUUGGUUUAGAAUACUGACAUCAAAUCUCACUGUCAGUGGAUAUUUUCUUCAACGGCUGUAUCUCUACUGCUAAAAUGCAACACAACAAAUUCAGAUUCAUUCCUAAGAUCAAUUUGUUCAAGUCAACAAAAUUUUUGUCACACCACUGUUAAACCUGAGAUGCCUCAAAUAAAGAGUAUAACUUGGCUUGAAAACAGCACGAAGGAUGAAUGUAAUCCAUGCCAUCGAGAAAAUAGCCAAUGUUAAACUAGAUGAGUUUGACACCAAUUCAAAAGGCAUCUUCUUGUGUCCUACAUUCUAGUAAUUUUGUUGACUAAAUUAUGUGUUUAAAUUUAUACGGCAAACUCAGGCCAGCAUUUGGGUUCCUGUGAUUAUUCAUUUGUAAGGCUGUGAAUGCUUAUUAAUGGCUCCUGGCUUUAGAAUGAGCGUUUAUGCUUCCAAAGCACUGCACAUGACUAAUUUGUUCUUCUGCUUAUUCGAAAGCAGCAGGGGUUGUCAAGAAGCCAAAUCUACACUGAAUUAAAACCACGUUGCUUUGCUUCCAUAGAAGAGGUAAUACUUGGCUGUUGUAAAAAAGUCACACUUCAAUUGAGCAUCAGUUCAUCACUGAAACUACAAAGUGGAGCAGUCGCAGAGGUAAGGUGAUGGUAAAUGCAAUGUGACGUUUCUCCUGGGCCAUACUGCAGAGAAACCUUACCUUUGUGUGGUGCAGCUGAUGUUGUGUACUUCCCAGAAAAAACAAAAGAGCUGUAAGGUUGCAGCAGAACGCCAUGUCAAGGGAACCCAGAGUCUAAUUAAUCUCAGAGAAGUAUAAAGCCAUAACGAGUACCCACUUCAUUUUGUUUGAGUUGGUUUCUGUCCAGGUUAAUGUGAAACAGAGUGACCUGGUUGUAUGUAUGGGCCUGAAUGCGUUCCCAUGUUCUGCUAUAUAUCCCCACUACUAAGAUUCAGUCUAACCUCCAGCGUUUGGCAACCCUUUAUGGUCUUCUGCCAGUUCUUCAGUCUUCAGAGGAGGUUUGAAGCUUCUCGAUAACGAUUUCACAUAGCAGUUGUGGAUCCUAAUGGUAAAUAUUUUUGGUUGGCGUUCCCUGAGGCUGCCAGUUAGCAGCUAACAGUGACACUCGACUGGUUUCUGUGCAGUGGAACUGUGCAGUUAGAUUAAAUCUCACUGAGUUAUUGCAAGGAGUUACACUGUGGCUAAAUGUUUGUACCACUGCAACCUGUAGUUUUCAAUAUAAUUCUCUGCAGCCUGGCAAGUGCAUUAAUGGUUUUACAUAGUGCGAGGAACAAAAGGUUGCUUAGAUGCAGCGCAGCUGCUGAAGGUGGUUAUAAAAAGGCCCAUUUAACAUUCAUAGAUUCAGGGAAAGAAAACAGGAUAACCCUGCUGCUGGUUGUAGGGGUGAGUGUGAGCAGCUGCUUCAUGCGAUGCACAGCUGUGCCAGCGAUGUGCUGCAGAAGCGAUGAAUUAAGCUGUAAAGUGCAAGUCUCUGUGUACAACGUCCCGUUUUUGGAUAGCCCUGGAAAGUAAUGUAGAAGCUGUACAUGAGUGCCUCAAGUCUCUUUGCUUGCCUGUGCAGCAAUUAAUUUCAUACCUAUGCUAUGAAACCCCUGGAACAUCCCGUGUAGUGCGCAAACCAAGCGCUGUGCACAAACCUCCCAGCUAGACCAGAGGAAUUUAUAUCCCCUUCACUGACACACACAGACUGCUGGGUUGGUGAAAUGCUCUGAUGUGUUGGAUAAUAUGUGCAGGUCGUUGAACUUCAGUAGUACUGGAACAUGUGGAACAAACACUCUUGAAAUGAAGAAACUCCCAGCUUUGGGGCUGUGGCUGCAACCCUCCAAGGUGCUAGAUGUGUGAAAUGUGUUCUUCAGCACUGUACCUGAACAAAAAUCCUUCUGUCACUCCCUAGAAUUGCUAAAAAUGCUAGUUGUGUUUUAUAGAUAAAUGAUUGAUUGUGAGUUGUUGGCAUCAGCAACACUGCAGGCAUCACCGCCAUGCAGAGCUUUGUCUGAUUCCUGCCUGGCCAGCAAUGGUAAAUAGGUGCAGGGCUGGAGGAGCUCCAGGUGUCACUGUUAGGACAGCACCUGGGUAACUGGAGGGGCUUGUUUGUCACUGCUGAGGGAUUUCUGUGACCAAGACUCAACAGCUGCAUGCAGGGCAGCUCUGGCUGAAUCACACAGCUUCAGGUGUGGGAAGCAGCACUGCUUUAUGGAGGCUGCCUUUUUACUUUGGAGGUUUCUUAGCUGUUACAUAGUUGGUCACUGAUAACUUUGGCACAUUUUUGGUGGAGUAAUCUUGCCAGCAGCUUGAUACGUAGCUACAGAAAACAAAACAAAAGCAUCCUCGCUUUCCUCAUUCUUUCCCCUCAAAUGAAGUAAUUUGAAAAGUGCAGAGCUCUGUUAAAAAGCAGAAUCAUCUGGGAAAGGAGAUUUGUCCUGACAGAGAUGGCAGGGGUUUGCUAAGCAGCAAGGCUGUGUGACUCCAUCCUCGUGGAACUGCUCCAGCACUGACCAGACGCACUCCUUCCAGGUCAGGACAGUGGGAGCUUGAGCCUUACUCUGUCCAAACAGCUUUGGACCAGACUUUGCUGCUGUCUCCUGCUCUGUGGUCCCGUUAUCUAUGGCAGCCUGGUUGGAAUGGUGUUGCUCAGACCUCUUGGGCAAGUCACUGCAAGCCCUGGUUGCUGGGAGAUCCUGUCUGCUUAUCGCAACUCCAGCCAGUGCUAUGACUUGCAAGAUGCAGCAUGCUGAGGGCCCUCACUAGCACCUUGUCUCUCUAACUUUGCUAUGGGCUUGUCAUGGGCAGGCUCACUGUCACCCCUUUCCCCCUUCAAACCUGGUUUAAAGCCCCCUCAAUGAACUCAGACAUCUCCUGGGCUAGAAUUCUUUUCCCCUUAGACUCGGGUGGACUCCAUCCAAGCCAGGCUCCAAGUAAACCACCCCGUAGUCAGAAAAGCCAAAAUUCCUGCAGUGGCAUCAGGCUGUCAGCCAUGUAUUUAUCAAACAGACGUUUCUGGUCCUCUCAGUAUCCCUCCCUGCAACUGAAGGGAUUGAGAACAUCAUCUGUACUCCCGCUCCAUCCACUGCCCUUUGGUAUUUGUAAUGUUUGUCACAGUUGUUGGUUCUUGGAAGAAUGCAGUGUGUGCUGCUAAAUGGGGAUGGAAAAUGCAACAGCCGCAUCCAUGUAUAUUGAAAUGCAUUGUGUAGCACUACAGAAGUGUUUUCAUAAAGCUGACAUUCAGAAAAACAUUCAGAAAUACAUAUACUAUAGCAAUACUAGACAACAUCUGUUAAUAUUUUAUGCUUUUUUAAACUCACAGCCCUUGGAGAAGGAGAGAUUUGACAGUGAAAUAUUCAACUGAUUUCAGCAGCAGUGGGUCAGAUCCACAAAUCAGGCCACUGAUGUAAUUUGUCCCUAGAGCUUUAGCUGUCUAUGGAUGCUGGUAAGGUACUGGUGCCUGUUGUUGCCUGCCUUUGGCAGCAAGAGCACUCCCCGUUUGUAAGGAAGUAAUCUAAUUUUAUUCAUCUUCUUACUUCAUCUUAGACUUUAUUGCCAUCUGUCUUCAUGAGGUAGAUAGAUUGUUUGAGUGUAGCCUUGUGUACUGUCGUUGUCUUUUGUUUCCCUUACAGAGAGCUUGUGUAGAUGCUCACUGCUGUUACUGAAGUGGACUGGAGUUUUAAACCUGUUGCCUGUCCUCUUCAUCUCGUCGUAACACAACCUGUUCUCUUGGCAUGACAAAGUAGAAGCUUCCUCUGCCCAGCCUAGUGACAUGUCACCUGGUCACCAACCUUUCAUCUCCUCUUAUAAUAUCCAUGCUGAGUAGUCCUUACAGAUUGACUCUGUGAUAGACAGUCUGUGUGAUGUCUGAUUGGCAUAGAUGGACAGAGGUUGCUCCAAAAGUAAUGCCUCCUAUUUAUUUCCAUGGAAACCAACAGAUACAAAGAGCACAAUAUUAUUGUUUGAUAGAGCAUAUUCUCAGCUACAAAACACUGUUUUUCAACACAGAUACCACCAUUAACAAGCAUUUGCAAGCUGUAUUCAUAAAAAUCUGCCUGACCUAUAGGAACGUGGCUUGUCUUUCACAUUGCUGUCACCACUGCUGAAACACACCACGCACCACCUCAGUGUGUUCACAUCCUCUGUUCGGUCUCCAUUGAUGGAAUGUCAAUGGGUGCCAUUUUUUCUGCAUGGAGGAAUUUAGUCCCACCCCUCUACUCCAUUCAUACUUCCAUGUCAGAUGCCAUUCUUUCCGAUUGCCCCCCUACUGCCAUCUGUCAUAAACCAAAAAAAUAUAAUGAAAUAUUGAUGGGAAGGUUCAACUUCUACUGCCAUCCCAGCACCAUCCACCUCUGAUGUUGUGGGCCAACAUCAUAAAAUAGGAGGCAUUACUUUCAGAGCAGCCCUCAUAACCGAGAAUGUUUGAAUUAAGUGUGCAGCUGUCUUGAUAGCCUGACAGUAACUUCAGCAAAGGGUGGCAGUGCCUAGGCAGAAUGUGUCUGAAAGCAGGAUUCCCAGUCUGGGAGGUGGAAUUACUUCUCUCUUCGUAUCUUGAUUAUUUAUUUUUGCUGUAUCAACUCUAAUGCUGGGCUUUUGUGUUCACAUCAGCACUUGGUGGAACCAUAUUGGUGGCCCUUUUGAUGGAGGUGAGAGUUUGUCAUUGGUGUAAGGAGAUUUCAUUGUUGUAUCAGUUCUGUAGUUCUUUGACACUCCUAUGUAAAUAUGGUAAAUCCAAACCAAUCCAUGUAUUUGCAUCUCUCUGAGGAUCUGCUUUGAAAUCUGCAUUUCAACAGCCUUUGUAACCGUACCUCAACACAAUGCAGAUAAGAAAGUGCUUUCUGCCAUCCCUGUUAAAAUGCAAGACAGCUUUUCCAGCUGGACAUAACUGCGUACCUUCACUGGUCUCCCCACAAUUGGGAUUUUUCUUCCUUUCCAAGAGUGAGCAGUGCCAUCAUGCCACCAAGCAUGGCAGCAGCUGACACAGGGAUUAAACUGCUUCUUCCUUGCUCUCUGCCUGGAAGAUAAUUCUUGAAGGAAGUACAGUAGGAUUUAGGAAAAAUUUCUUCUCCAAGAGAGUGGUCAGACACUGGAAUGGGCUGCCCAGGGAGGUGGUGGAGUCACCGUCCCUGGAGGUGUUCAAGAAACGUGUAGAUGUUGUACUGAGGGCCAUGGUUUGGUGGGGAAGUACUGGUGGUAGGUGGACGGUUGGACUGGAUGGUCGUGGAGGUCUCUUCCAGCCUUGGUGGUUGUAUGAUUUUCAGCACAUGUACAUAUUUAAGGCAUUUUUUAAAGUGUGUUUCUAAACUUCAUAUUUAGAAACCUGCUUAUUCAAGCUUAUGCUUUGCUAAGUUCUAGGAAAUGAAAUUAACUUGAAGAGCAACUUACUGUAAUUUACUGUGAACAAGUUGUAUCUGUAACAGAAGCUUGCUGGCACAUGCUGCUUUAGGUUGGACAAGGGAUAUGAGUGUGUGUAUCUUUCUGCUAUGUGGUAAGACUCCACGUGAGGAUGGAGGUCCUGGGGCCUUAGAGGAAGACUGAUGUCUUGCCUGAGGAGGAAAUUCAAGGUGUGCGGUCAUGGUUGAUGUAAAAGCCAUUCUGCUCACCCUGCCCUUUGGGCAGUCUGCCCUUCCCAUCCUGCAUAGGUCAAUCCUUUAGGUCCAUCUCAUACGCUGUGGACCUUGCGUUAAAGGGGAGAAUGCACUGCUGGAGGUGUGCCAGUUUCUGAUUCCAAAUGUUGGUGCAUCUUCUCAGCUUCUUUCAUGCUUUCUCUGGCGAUUGCUUCCGUGAAUACAAAAUCUGACAAAUAAUUGCAUUUUGAAGGGCAUGCUUAAUGGAGGUCCAUAAAAAUGAUUUACAGACAACUGCAAACUGAACUAUUACACUAAAGGAUAAAAAGCUUCCUUAAUGAGCUGUACAAGACAGUUAUUGAUGUAUUUAUGAAAACAUUCCCCAGUACAUGCAACCAGGGGAAUUCAAAGAUAAAUAUUUAAAGAUUGUCUGACAGUUUUUGAAUGUAGCAAAACUCGAGUUCCUCUGGUUCCUCUGUAGGGCAGUAAAUGUCUUGAAACAAAAGUAUGUGUGAUUUGUAACAGAAGAGAACAAAACCUGUCUUAAAACUAGAUGUCUUUCUAUGUGACAAUGCUUUGUUCAACCUAAGAGAUAAAGCAAGGAGAAAAUAGGCAUGGGAAGCUUAAGAUAUUAAUAAGGUAAGCCAACAUUUUUUUUUUCUAUCUAGGUAAUUUAUUAGAAUGGUGUCAAAGAAAUGUACUUAAGAUGAUGAAAUGUAACAACAGUUUCGCGUUUGAUUGAGUUUCCUUUCAUCCCAUCAUUGCUGUACACAGUCAGGUUAUUCAAGUGUGAUCUUUAAGUGUUCACAUUGUGAUUUAUAAUCUUGAUCUUCGCACCCCAGGGAGAGAAAAAUUGGUCUGUUGUUAUGAAUCUGAUUAAUAUAUAGAACAAUGUGUGCCCUUUUGGUAUUUAUUACACACAUGUGCUUUUAGUUUGGAUUAUCUCAUUGUUACUUGCACUUUGCAGGCAUACUGCAUUACUCUCUGAGUAACAAACUGUAGGAGCAUUCUAAGUAUUGGGGCUGACACUUGGUGUGGCAUCACCUUGUCAUUGGUGCACUUUAUAUCCUUGACUGGCUUAAUAAUUGAUAAUUUUUAAAUAAUAUGGUUUUCUUUAGGACCACAGCUGCUGUGUCACGUAACUCCUCCUGCCAUACAGAACGAAGACCUGGCUCAUGCUAUUAAAUAAGCUCUAGAGUCUUUUUUAGACUUCUUCCACCACAUUGUUUCUUGGGCUACAGACUGAGACUGGGCUAUGGAGCCUCUUCCUUUGAAGGUUGGUAGAAGGAGUGAAUGAGGGACAGGGGCUGUGCUAGCCAGCCUGUGAAAGGUGCUGGCAGCCGCCCUGAGUGUUGCUCAUGGGUAGAAGAGCUGCAUUAGCAGCCAGUGCUGAAGGUUAAUAGAAGAGUUUUAGUCUUGGGGGAUCUCUUCUUCAGCACCAAGAAGGGUUGUGAUGAAGCUGAAUUUCCCCCUGGGUGACGAUGCUGGUCCCAUUUUCACUUACAAGAACAUGGAAUAUAUUCAUCAACAUUCAUUAACUUCAUGGAUCUCAAGGAAGCACACAUAACCUCCACUAAGACUUCUGAGUUGUAAGUGUAGUAUGGGGUAGUAUUUAAGCUUUUCUAGCUUUCUGCUGGGAUAUAAGGGUUUGGGUUUCUUUCUUUGUUUUCCUUGAUGUCAUUUGAUUGCUUCAAAUUUUACUUUUUUGGCUUAUUUUUCCUGUUUCAUUUCCCCUGUAAGGACGCAGCAGUUCACAUGCACCAAAGUCUCUGUAAUAGUGUCCUUACAAUGAAAGGGGAUUUGUGUACUAAGGAUUGUAUCAGUGAAAAACUAGUGUUGGGUUUUUGCUAUGUGGGAAUGUAAGGCAAGGAGAGCAGAAAAGGAAUAGCCAAUACUUUGAUAGUUAAGGAAGCACAAGGGUACACAUACAAGUCCUGAGCCUUGGAAAGGUUCUCAGUCCAGCUCUGUAUAUCUGACUCAGUAUGGAACAGCCUGUGUUAAUUUAACUUAAAUCUCUCCUGCACCAAAUUGUAGGUGGGAAGUCUGUUGAUCAAAGCCAGACUUUUAAAGCAGGUUUCCUGUAGUAGUGUGUAAAAUCAGUCUUUGUACAAGAGUAGUUCUGUCACCUGCCUUGCAAGCAAAUUACAUUAUGCAAUUUAGAGCCCAAGUAUGGCUUAACUUCAGUGGAUAAAUCUCAUGCCUGUUGUGAAAGCAUUCAUGUCCUUGGGGCCUGUAUUUGAUUUCUCAAUAUGUAGGAACAAUAGAAAUUUGAAGAUUUUGAUUGAAAUGCAACCCAUGGAUUAUGCACAUAACCAUUUGCAGCCUUUACUUAUGCGCCUGUUGUGAAGACGCAUCCACACUAAGGAACUGCAGCUCAGCCUCUUUGCUUGGCUGCAGUGCCUUUUGGUGUAAGCUAGUGGAGAUGUUUUGCCUCUAUCAGAAGAACUGAAGCACUGUUCUUCCAGGGAGGCUGGCAGCAACAAAGAAAGAAGGAUGCCCUGAAUGGCUGUUGGAGGCUGUCAGACUGUUAUAUCUCUUGUAUUUACUGCUUUACUUGUUGCCUUUGGAAGAUUAUUGCUGUCAGUGCUUGAAGGACCCUGCUCCACAGUCACCUAGAUGAUCUCACCUUCUAUUCUGUAUUGUUUUCAGAAAAUACAAUGGUUAGCAUGUUAAUGGUUAACAUACAGUUUUAGCAGCUUCAGUUGCAUUAUAACUCAAAAAUUCUGUCAAGAAGAACUUAGAUUGAGCUUCAGAUUCUGACAGUGUCCUGAAGACAACCUUACUGGCUUCUCCCAGGUGACUUGCGUUUCCAUUCUGCAGGCUGGAGCAAUGUGAUGCUGAGGUGAUCCAGAAUUCCUGACUCUGUGCAGAUCAGCCCUGUCCCUGAGCAACCACCAGGCAGGUACGGUUUAGAUGAGGGUACAGAAGCAUGGAAACCCCUCAGCUUUAUGGGUGCCUCAGUCACCUAGAGCAGAUUGUCUGUGAGAUGAGAGUGCACAGAGACCACAGUUGGAUAUUGUACACCUCUGGAGUAGUUACCUUGGCAACUAUCAUACUGUGUGCGGUUUGGUUGCGAGGAACUGGCACAGCAGAGAAGUGUGACAUGUGAGACAUAAUCCUCUGUGGAUUUCCGAAGAUGGCAAGCAGGUGAUGGCGUGAGCAUUUCUGCUGUUGGCAGCGUAAUGGCCACGAGCUCAUUGCUGUAGCAGCCCUACUCUCACAAUUUAAAUUCCUCAUGUUAACAAAAAUGAAGAGCUGUGCAGUGGUACAUGUUAUCAGCACUUUUUCUGGAGGAGUUCCUUGAGAAUGAAGGUGAAUAAAACCAUCCUGCUUACCUCACCACCUCCCACUCGUUUUGCCUAAAACGCCUCAUUGAAAUUUCUUAGCAGAGCAGGGCUGUGCAGCUCCUGGAGGAUCCUCUUAGAUCUUGGUUGGUGGGAGGUGGAUUUGCCUGGGCUGCUGACUUCUUUUUCUUCAAAGACCUCGGUAAGCUGUGUGAGUUCCCAGGGCACCCAUCCCAUCCCCCUCCCAGCCCAGGGGAGCCCACAUGGCUCAGAAUAAUGAAGGCCCUUACUGAGGGUGUCAGGGUUCACGAUUCCUCUCCUCUAGUUCUUGUGAUGAUUCUAUAAGGCGCCAGUAGGGCUUGUUAACAGAGCUGAUCAAUGAGACUUGUGUGCAAGGAUCGCUAAGAUCAAUUCUGCAAUGAAUCAAAGAGUCCUUCCAGUAUUGACUUUCUUUUUAAACAGCAAAAACUGGAAGAAAAAAAAAUAUAAGAGUAUUCACCACUAUUGGUGUGUGUGGCUGAGCCGUCCCUGAAGGGCAGCAGUCUGCAUGCAGCUGUGCCAGGGGUUCCAGGUGGCACAGACCUCAGAGACCCCCGAGUGAGGAAGCAGAGAUGGGGUUGCUCAUGGUGCUGUAUUUUGGCCCAUGCUCAGUGCGUCACUGUUGUUUGAAUCUUAAAAAGAUUGCCCCCUCCUCGUUCCAUUUUAGUUUCCUGGUCGUAGCUUUUGUCUUUCCAUAGCAAAUGUGGUUCCUCAAGCAUUGCAGAGUACAGGCGCUUUUACUUGACUUUGAAAUAUUUUAAGCCUGAUUCUCUUUCACUUAGCUUUCACUUCUAGAAAUGAAAAAUAUCAGAAUAGAUGGAGUUGCUCAUUUUCUGUGUACUUCAGUGGGAACUCUGUCAGGUCAAGUCUAGCACAGACAAGAGGCCCCUCACCGCUGGGUAGGAAGAGACAGCUUGGUAGUCUGCAUUCCAAGUCAAGGUGCAUUUCCAGGAGAGGUGGGAAGGGGGGUGGCAAAGCAAGUUUCACAGAACUCUCUUAGUUCUCCUUGGUGGAGUAAUCCCUGUUAAAAAGCUGACUGAUCAGUGACCAUAAGGAGAUAUACCACUGUCUUGUACAGGCUUACUGUACUUGGAAGUGCAAUCAGUGUUUUAAUGACUGUUCCCUGCUGCAGUAUAUUUAACUGCAUCGAUUGAUACCUUAAAACUGUGGCUGUUCAUUAGGCUUUAAAAAUUUUCCUUCUUUAUGUGUUGUAUGUGGGAGUGUAAGCCAUCGGCUCAUGUAAAAUGUAAAGCUUUCUUUUGGGAUACCCACUCAUUUAAAAAUAUAUAUAUAUAUAUGAAAAAAAGAUCAGGUGGGUUCAUUCAUCAAGGUGUGAAUGCUUAAGACCAUUUUACUAACGUGAAACCAAAAUCUGGUGAUUUUAGGGGAAUCACAGAAUCACCAAGGUUGGAAAAGACCUCCAAGAUCUUCCAGUCCAACCAUCCACCUGCCACCAAUAUUCCCCACUGAGCCAUAUCCCUCAGUACAACACCUAAACAUUUCUUGAACACCUGCAGGGUCGGUGACUCCACCACGUCCCUGCGCAGCCCAUUCCAAUGCCUGACUACUCUCCUGGAGAAGUGUUUCCUAAUGUCCAACCUGCAUUGGAGUUAACAUUCUGUUGUGUUUUAGUGAGUAGAGCACAGUGUAGGGUGGGUUUCUUGUACAAGUGCAUCUAUUCAUUCAGCAGCAAUACAAACCCAUGUCAGUAUGGUUUUCAGCACACCCAUGGGUGUGGAUGGGGUUGCUGGUGCUCUCAGGUCUGCUGCUUCCUGCUGUAACGAGCAGCCUGAAAGCUGCAGCUUGCUGUGUGUGUUCACACAGCCUGUCAGUCUGCUGCUGCCAUUUGAUUUAGGAUGAUGAAAGCAGCAGCAAAAUCCAGCUACAAGUGAAGUGAGUUGUGUUGGAUGGAUUUGUAACUCCUGGUGACCUGAGGAAGGAGAGACGAUGCCGCUGGAUGUCACCUGGCAGUGGGCAGACACCUCAGCCCUGGCUGUAAGUACGGGAGAGUUUUGCAGCUGCAGUCUUCCUUUUCAGCUUUGUUCUCACAGCUCUGGGCCUUCUGGUCGGAUCCAUGCAGGGCUGCCGUGCCGUGUUUCAGUCAGUGCCCUCCCACAGGCUGGGAGCUCUGUACAAUUUGCCCUUUUGAAACAUGAUCCUUUGUUCCUACUGAACUCGGGGCCGCUAUCCCAGGAACCUCGUUCCAUUUUCCAGCUGUCUGAAAUUGGGCUUUCUGCUGCAGAGGAUUUUCUUGCCAUAUCAGAGAUUCCCUCUCCCUCCAGGCUUUUUAUUGCUAAAACAGUAGGCUAUGAAUGCUGCAUCAUGGUGCAUACAGGUGUGUGUAUCAGUGUUUGUGCCAGCAGACUGCAGGCAUUAUCUUAUGCUGUGCAUUUGUGAAAGUGCUGUGAAUGUUCUGUGGGUUAUAACACUCAAUUGCACGGUGCAUCUUCCCAAAUUCCCACAAAGAACAGCAGAACUGACAGCAAGAGAUGCACUAACAAAAUCACACGGAGCUCUUGCCAAGCAGAGGGCAGUUUUGUUCCUAGGCACUGAAGGACGACGAUGACCAACAACAUGCUUGCUCCUAUAUUAAUAGGUUUUAUUUCACCAUAAAUCUUACCGCACACCCUGCAGCUUGUUGUGCCUUUGCCACACUAAACUGUCCUGCAGGACGUUGCUCACAUCUUGCUCACGUGCUGUCCUUUCUGAUCAACCUGCCAGGCGAUGGAGCAGGAUAGGGACGUCAGGGCAGAACUGACCAGGAGGUACGGACUGCUUCAGCCAGGAGGAACAACACUGACUCCUGUGUUUUAUCUGGCUGCUGGCUGUGGGAAUCCUGCCAACCAGCUGGUGAAAAGGGUAUAAAAUCUGACUUUGUGUAAUAUUACAUGUUUCUAUGAUCCUUGCUUUUAGCAAAUAGUUCAUUCCUAACCACUGUUGGGAAGCAGGCAGACUGACAGUGCUGUGAGUGCACGUGGGCUCUGCUCUACAGACACAGCCCAUGUUUCCAGGGUGGUACUCCAUCUCCCUUCCAUGCUUUGGUACUUAGAAAGGAUUAACUUUGCCCUCAGUGCCUUUACACAAACAGCACUAAAAUAUUUGAAGGAAUGUGAUUUUCUCUGGGGCUGGAUGGAAUUAAAGCAUUGUACUUGUCGUGAUUUAAGGUUGUUUCUGAUGAUGGAGGCUGGCUGAGGUUUCUCACUUCUGCUGUCCUCUCUUGCAUGCCUUGUUUCCUACAGUCUGUGUAACAAGCUUUCCCAGGGGAAAUCUCCCAGCAACAGCAUACGCUGAUGAUGCUGUGACGCCUGGCUGUCGGAGUUGUUGCACACAAAUAGGACUGACAAGUGAAACAGAAAAUGUGAGACUAUCUGAUGUUCCAGGGAGGAUGGCUGAAGCACGGCCACUGCAGGAACGCGGCUCAGUUAAACUUGCUUCUCCCAAAGCAAAGAUCAUUAGGUUAAAAAACAACUGGUCUUUUGACAGGCCUGCUUUCCAAAUGAGACGGCACCAACACCAGCUUUCAGUUUUAAGAAGCUGCCAUUAUUUAUCCCUUUAAAUCACUGAUUUUAUUAGUUCUGCUGGCAGCUUUCUUAGCUGAAUCUGCAUUUUGUGUAAUUUGUUGUAGUUCACUUGUGCGGGCAGGUUACUAUUUUCUUUGUGCUUGUAACUGUGAUUACAGUGUUCAGACUUUCCAACCCUAGCACUGUACCCAGGGUAGGCAGUGUCACCUGUUGAGGUUGCCCAAGAGCUCCCACUAUAAAUCCUAAUUUCUAAUACAUCCAUGUAUCUCUACAGCAGUCCCUGUGCAGACUUGUUGCUGGCUCACGCCUGCCAGUACUUCACAGAGAUGCAGGUGAGUGUCUCAAUUAAGCAGGUGAGCUGGAAGGUGCUUUCCCCAUCAUCGCUUGCAGACUGUCUCCCUGUCAUCUCCUUCUGUCUGACAUACCUGAUUGUUUUUGCUGGGCCGCAGUGUGCAGAAAUGACUGUGGCAAUAAUUCUUCUGCUCUCCUUAAACCUUUCAGAUGCCAUUGGUGGACUUUUCACUGCUGGACAGAAGGCAUUUGAGUGAUUACUUGUUGUGAAGUACCUUCUGCAGAGACUGCCUGCAGUUUUGGAAGGCAGCUGGAUAGCAUCAUGCAUUAGUAAUCUAAUGACCUUUACCCCUCGGCACCAUUUCCUCACAUCUUGAACAGCUUGGCAAUACUAGGAAAGCAUCCCAUGGUUCAGUACAGUUGUGUAAUAGAAGUUCUUCUCAUUACAUUUCACUCAUUGACUGAUUUUAUCUCAAGAGUAAGCACAGCAGCUAGAAAUCACAGGAAGCCUUGGAAGAGAGUUGGAUUAAUACCUGAAGGCAGUUUCCUCUGGAAGUGAGCUUUCCUUCGAGGCAUGGAGCAGCACUGCUGCUGUGGCUGCUGCACUGGGGCUGCAGGAAGUACCUCUGUGCAGACAAAACUCAUUCUGGGAACAUGCAAAGAACACAGAGUUUGGACCCAAUUACUCACUCUGCCAUCUUUUUUUAUCCUCAAGGAUGGGGGGGAAUCCUUUAUCAGUGCAUAGUAAUCGUCUUGAUGUCCAAUGAAAAGAGCAAUGACAAACAUUUCCUUGCCAGACAAUGAGUACUGCAGGCAGACAGCUGGGUUACUUUCCACCUUUGCACGAGCACAUCUGCUCAACGAGCACGGCGUGCAUUCGGAGAUACCCGAGCACGCAGGGCUGACAUUUGCUUUUCAGAAGCGCCCCCCUGACAGGCACUUGAAUGCUCAGACACCCAUGUGAAAGGUACACAGGACAUCAGUGGGACGAGCUGCGUAACUCACACCACUGACACGUCUCUUUUCACUUGCAGUAUUUAUAGCUGGCAGUGAUUUCCCAUUGCGCACUUUUGCUUUAGGAAGGACUUCUAAAAUAUCAAGAGUUUGUUCCAUACAGACCUUUUCCUUUGGGUACAUGAAGGAGGCUGAUGUCAACGGCAGCUCUCGGACGUGGCCCUGAAUGCACAGCAGUACGAGCCAUUCUGCUUGUGCAUGUGGUCAGCUUUUGCUUCAGUCUUCUUGUGCUUCUGCUUGUGCUUCAGUCAGCAUGACUUUCAGAGCUCUUCAUUUUAUUUUAUGGCUAAUUUCACGAAUUCAUUAGGGGCAUUGUAGUGGCAGUGCUCAGUCACAGCCUGAAACAGUGAUGGAGCACCUGGUGGGAAGGCAGGGCCAACCCAGGGGAGUUCAGGUGCACGUAGUGCUGCUGAGUGACUAGAAGGGAUGGAGUCAGGAUCCACCCCUUCCCAGCCCUCAUUUAAGGGUUGGCAGUGGAGCUGAGGGUAUCUUUUGCUGGAGAUUCCUGCUUACCUGCAGCCUUCUAAGAGUAAGCAGUUCUUUUCCUUAAUUUUUGCAUCUGUGGCUGUUGCAUUUGGGCUCAUUCUCAUUUGGAGUAGCUAAAGACUUUGACGCCCUGCUAUUAUCCUAUUAUAGCGUUGCAGGCAUUAAUAAUAGUUAAGGAGAUUUAAAUCCCUUAUGACUGUAACACUGGGCAGGCUGCAGGGGUGUGCAGAUGUCAUCUCCAUGUUCUUCUGGAGGAAUUUUGGAUGCUCAGUAGCAGUGAUGCCAGUGUUGGGGCAUGCACCCAGAGCACCCCUGUCUGGAGGAAAUGUAGUUCCCCACAUCUUGCAACGCACAGAGCUGUGAGAACACCAGAAUGCCUGAGCACUCAUCUGCUGCCCAGCUCUUGGCUGCUGCUAGAUGCAGCUCGUGACUUUGAAACCAGUUGUUUGCAAAAGAGCUCUGUGCCAUGCCCUGCAGGGCGAGCAGGGCCUCGUGCUGCAGCUGCUGACUAAUGCAUGACACCUCUGCUGUGAGGCAGUUGUGUUCACUCACCGAGGUCAGGGUGACUCAAAGCAGCACAUGUUCCAUGUCGAUGCCCAGAGGCAGCUGCUGUUUUACAUCAUGACAAUGUCAAUUAUCACCUACAACACUCCUGUAAGGAGUAAAAUGGCAUUGACAAAAGAUGCAAUUAUUUGGCUGUUUGCUUUCUCAGUCCUCUGCUAAUGUCAGUGUCUGGCUGUCUCUCUGAUGAUGCCUUUAAACCACAUGUGUGACAGCUACACUGCGUUGAAAAAACACAGCUUUCCCCACCUGUGUGUGCAUGAGGAGAUGUGCUGUUGCAGAGAUGCCCUGAUCUUUCUGAGCACCACUGUAAUGCUGCUGGAGAAGCUCAAGGGGGGAUUGUGUCCUUUCCAGUGGAGGCUGGAGGUGCAAUAUUGAUCUCAGCCCCCAUCUCUCGGAUAGCUGGAGUGUCAAGCACUGGGUAGAAUUGCUGUAAGUGUGCUGGCUCUUGCUGUGCUCCUGGCCGUUCCUCUGCUUCAUGUCUAUGUGCUUGGGCCUUUGGAGCUGGCUGCUGCACCAGCCCAGCUCUCGGAGGUGUCCCCCAGCAGCUGCUGCCUGGGGUUGCUUGGGCUGCUCGCAGGAGCUGAGGGCACAGCCCAGCCCGCUGUGCUGGCAGAGGCUGAUGGUCUGCCCAGAGCAAGUUUUUCUCCUCCACCACAGUCAUCUGACCUGUCCUUAGAAGGGCAUCUGCUUUUGGGGGGCAAGGCCAACAAAAAACAACAGCAACAAAAAGCUUUUGUGAUUCGUCUCUUAUUUAGAGCAUGUGCUAAUGAUGAAUUUGGGUGCAUCCCAUCUUGUCUCUAGGAACAGCUGGAAUAACUUCUGUGUUUUUGCACUGGAAACAACAAUGUUGCCGAAUCAUAGCUGUUCUUUGUGAAUCUCUCCAUUUCUUUAAGUUGUCAAUUUAUGGAAAAGUGGAAGAAUCUGGUAGUGAAACUGAAACUUCUUGUUUGAUCAUUUUGGUACCAGCAGAUGUGGGGAAUUCAUUCCAGGACAAGUUUAUUGCCUACGUUCAUGUUCUGACAUUGCCAAAAUGAGCAGAAAUAAAAGCCUUCCCCACCCCCCUCAGGUUUUUAAAUAUAAUGGGAAAUGUUUUGUUCUUUGGAGUUGUGGCAGAGUCUGCACGAUUUAACCUUGCAGACUUAUCCUGUUCAACCACAGGUCGUGUGCUGCUGUCCCAGCAGCUGGGGCUGGAUCCAUGCAGUCAGUCUGCACACGACGUGGAGGUUUGCUGAUGCUGCACAGUUGGGUGCAGGCAGUCAUCUGCAGAGCCCUCACGCCUUUGUAUCAUCCAGCCUGAUACUCAUAGCGCUGUUUUACUAAGCCCAAAGCCUUUACUGGUUACACAUGCUGUGUGUCAUUCCUUCCAUUGGCACGUGCUCCGUUCGGCAUUCUCUCAUUCACGUACGACACAGGGAAGGGAUUGUAUACUCCACUGUGAUACCACUUACAUCUCCUCCUUUGUUUCUAGGCAUGUAAUUACAUAUGGAUUUGGACCUUAACAAACCAUGGGUUGCUUUAGGUUACACUUGCUCCUGCCUCAGCCUACCUACGUGUUUUCAUUUAGAUUUUGGCAAGACCUUUGUCUGGCCAGCUGGCUUUUGUGCUCGAGACCAUCCUGUCUUUUGUCUUGAGUUAC